AAUUGUACCCUGAAACUGCAUUGGCUGUUGAAUGGAGGGUCUGAGUCUGUCCAUGAGCAGAUUGGCCAGCCUGAGGUGGGCGGAAUUGGCCAUGAGAUUGUUGAUGAUGUUGAACAUUUAUCUGCGGUUGAAGUUGUGAAUGAGGUUGAUGCACAAACGGCUGCGGUUGGGCUUGAGAAGACUGGGGAGGGUGAACCUGGGCAGGAUGCUGCUGAUACUGUGGCACCUGCACAUUGUGUUGUGAAUGAGGUUGCAUCGGAUAGGGCUGAGGAUAUGGCGGAGGCUGAGUAGGUGGCUGAGCAUGAGAAGCCGGAAAUAUUUGUGAUGGAAUUUGGGUAUGAGACUGCCCAGUAGGUGGAAGCUGCUGCUGUGGGUUGACUUGAACCUGGUUUUG
rnacentral:lncRNA from 1 species